rnacentral:rRNA from 1 species
GUCCACGCCCUAAACGAUGGACACUAGGUGUGGGGGUAUCGACCCCUCUGCGCCGGAGCUAACGCAUUAAGUGUCCCGCCUGGGGAGUACGGCCGCAAGGCUAAAACUCAAAGGAAUUGACGGGGCCCGCACAAGCAGCGGAGCGUGUGGUUUAAUUCGACGCAACGCGCAGAACCUUACCAGGGCUUGACAUGCUGGUGGUAGGGAGGUGAAAGCCGAACGACCCCGUGAGGGGAGCCAGCACAGAUGCUGCAUGGCUGUCGU